UACGUAGGGUGCGAGCGUUGUUCGGAAUUACUGGGCGUAAAGGGCUCGUAGGCGGCCAACUAAGUCAGACGUGAAAUCCCUCGGCUUAACCGGGGAACUGCGUCUGAUACUGGAUGGCUUGAGUUCGGGAGAGGGAUGCGGAAUUCCAGGUGUAGCGGUGAAAUGCGUAGAUAUCUGGAGGAACACCGGCGGCGAAGGCGGCAUCCUGGACCGAUUACUGACGCUGAGGAGCGAAAGCCAGGGGAGCAAACGGG
rnacentral:rRNA from 1 species